rnacentral:lncRNA from 1 species
GGCAUGGUAUUUAAUCGUCUCCCCGGGGAGAUUCGUUCUCAUUUUUCUACUGCUCGUGGAUUUACGCGCACGUUGGAACCGAAGAGAGCUCUGUUGUUGCAAUGUUCAGCCCACAAGAGCUUACUGGUGAAGGAAUGGGACAAGACCCAUCUUUAUGCAAAGCCAGCGUUACAGUAAUGUUCCAGCAUCUCAUAAUCUAUCCUGGGGAAUUCAGCUGCCUCCCAGGGUGAAUACAGGUAUUCCUGAUGACAGUCUGCCUCUAUCUUACAGAGCAGCUUGUUGCUAUAUACCAUUGAAAAGCCUUCAGAGCUGAGAGGUACUACUAACCAAUAACCUGCUUGGCUCAAAGGGCCAGCACCUUCUCUCUAAAGCCCAAGAGGAGUUUGAGGAAAACUAGGUGUCUGUGUUCACUCCAGGCUGAAGUUACAGGUCUGAGCAAAUAAGGUGUAUAAAAAAUGGAAUCUGUCUUGGAGGACAUCAGAAGGUGAAUUUUCCAAGUUCUUGGACAACCUAGCUGUUGAAAAGCUUUCUGGGUUUGGGGGGUAUUUCAGAUGUACCUUAAAGUGUUAGCAGACACAGAUUAAGACACUGGGAGCCAAUGAAACAGCAGUUGAGGGUUUGCUGUGUAUCACAUUUCUGUAUUUUAUCACCCCCUUCCUGCAACAUUAUUUAUCUGGAAUCUACCUGCCCUUUUGUUUUUUAGAUACAAGGGCUUGGUUUUGUUACCCAGGCUGGUUUCAAGGCCAUAGCUUUAAGAGAUCCUCUCACCACAGAUUUCCAAAGUGCUGGGAUUGCAGGUGUGAUUCAUGGCACCCAGACUUUGCUGCCUUUCUUACAUGAUCCAGGCCCAGAACCCAAACUCAGGCACUGUAUAGAUGACCACUUUCGUAAACUACUGACCUAGCUUGUUGCCAAUUGUUGAUUGAACUUCCCAUAACUCCACUUCGUGUCUGUUCCUCUGUAUACAGCCACCUUCUGUUCCCGUCAUGAGCCUUUAGGUCUCCAUUUGCAUAUUGCAAAUACUAUGUUCCAUGUAGGUAGCUCAUUCAGGGCCUUGCUCUUCACUUCAAAAAAGGUUCCCUUGAGGACUGGCUGUCAAUUUGUGUUGCUGUGUUGGUUGUUGAUGAAAAUAAUAAAAUGAUUGAUUACAUAGUCCUGUUUA